rnacentral:rRNA from 1 species
AAGUCCCUACGGGGCGCAGCAGUGGGGAAUAUUGCACAACGGGGGGAACCCUGAUGCAGCGACGCCGCGUGAGUGAAGAAGUAUUUCGGUAUGUAAAGCUCUAUCAGCAGGGAAGAAAAUGACGGUACCUGACUAAGAAGCCCCGGCUAACUACGUGCCAGCAGCCGCGGUAAUACGUAGGGGGCAAGCGUUAUCCGGAUUUACUGGGUGUAAAGGGGGCGCAGACGGCGAUGCAAGCCAGGAGUGAAAGCCCGGGGCCCAACCCCAGGACUGCUCUUGGAACUGCGUGGCUGGAGUGCAGGAGG